rnacentral:rRNA from 1 species
CCUACGGGAGGCAGCAGUGGGGAAUAUUGCACAAUGGGGGAAACCCUGAUGCAGCGACGCCGCGUGAGUGAAGAAUUAAUUCGGUAUGUAAAGCUCUAUCAGCAGGGAAGUAAAUGACGGUACCUGAGUAAGAAGCCCCGGCUAACUACGUGCCAGCAGCCGCGGUAAUACGUAGGGGGCAAGCGUUAUCCGGAUUUACUGGGUGUAAAGGGAGCGUAGACGGCAGGGCAAGUCAGGAGUGAAAGGGCGGGGCUCAACCCCCGGACUGCACUUGAAACUGUACGGCUGGAGUGCAGGAGAGGUGAGUGGAAUUCCUAGUGUAGCGGUGAAAUGCGUAGAUAUUAGGAGGAACACCAGUGGCGAAGGCAGCUUACUGGACUGUAACUGACGUUGAGGCUCGAAAGCGUGGGGAGCAAACAGGAUUAGAUACCCCAGUAGUC